UAAAGCAUGCAAAAUGUAUUCAGGUUCAC
rnacentral:piRNA from 1 species